CCCGAACUCUCCGGAAGUAGCAUCUGAUGCAAUCAACACUGUCACUCAUUCCAGACGCCGAUGCUGACACAUUGUUUAUUAUUUGAUGUUUCAGCGACACGAGGAGAAUCGUCAACACAACAUCCAAAGCAGGACUGCACAUCAGGCAGAGCAAUUAGCAAGGAAAACCAUGAGACCAUCUGAGACGGCGUGAAUGGGAAACAUGGGAAACACCAUCCCUGGAAUGGAACAUGAAUGAUCCUUGUGGAAAAUGAGGCCGGGAGCCGGCCCGCAGGAGGCAGCUCUCCAUCUCUUCCUCCUCGCUCUGGGACCUGGACUCCUCCUGCAGCGACGCCGGGCCCAUUCCCCCUCUGCUGCAGCCGGACCGCAAGCAGACAGCAGGUGCGUCAGCUCUGCACUGAAAAGUCCUGACGCCGAGCCAGUUCCCCUCCCAACUUCUCCCUGUAACUCAUGCCUCCAUGUUUGACAGCCUCAAGGGAGCUACACAGUCGCCUAAAAUGAAAGAGAGCACAUGAAAGUCAAACACACCCUCGGCCAUCCAGCACGGCCCACCAUACACAAUCACAUUCUCCGGGCGGCCGGCCUGAAAGAUGAUGGAUCAGCACUGUGUGCACUUCCUGUCCGCCGAAGGAGUCCUAGACGAGGGCAGCACGCUUGAUCCAGCUUAGCCCGCCUUGCCAUCUCAUUACGGCACAGCAUCUGCUUAGCGCUCCAGGCAAGUGAACUGGAGCAAGCAGACGGAGGUCCAGCAGCUCGGGUCUCGGCUUGUUGGUGCACACCAGGGUUGGGAAGCUCUAGCAGAGCAACGGCAGCAGAGAUCCAGAACUAAACCACUUUGAUGACACGUGUGAACGCAUCCACAAAAACACAGCAGCUAAGAUCUCACUUUCUUGAAAAUGCUUUUUAUUAUUACAGAAACUUUAAAUAGAAAUAGAAUUUCAGUACAUUCAGCUGAGAGGCUGGCGAGUCAAAAAAAGGGUCUUGAGACGGUAGCGUGUCCCAAAGAGGAACCGGGACAAGAACCCUUCUGCUUUUUGGUACAUAGAAAAAGUGACUGGAAAAGGUUAGAAAUACAAUCCACUCUGUGAAGUUGACUCCAGGAAGCAUCUCUGAUGCCGCUUAAAGGCUGGAGAACCAUGGCGUCUGGAGGUCACAUCCUUUCUUGGGCGGGUGAAGACCACCAGCCAACAUAAACGUGUCCACCAUGUAGGCGUCUUUCAUGAUUGAAUGGAAUGUAUGUAAAGCAACACAGGAAGCGCCUCAGUGGGCCUCGUAUGAUAGGAUAUGACACGCAUCUUCAGCUAAAUAAUAAUAAUAAUAAUAAUAAUAAGAGGAUCCACGGAUACCCUUUAGUGCAUGGUGUGUAUGUGGUAUUGUGCACCUUUUGCCUUGGUGCUUUAGCUUCAUCAUUAGUGCAGGAGUGCUCCAAGCGUUUAUUCUCACAGGAACGUCGUAGAACGAGCCGCAGCAACGGGCCAGACCAAAUACUCUUAUAUGAAAAUACGGCUAACUAAUCUUUAGCAAUAGACCAUAGACCGGUCCCAAGUUUGGAGACAUGUUCAUGCUAGCGAGCGAGAAGGCGUAUCAAACGUUUGACUGGUGCCGUGUUGACUAUGUUGGACUAUCAAAGAACUCCUGAGGUCUGGUUUGGUUUGGAAUUGCAUGGUGGGCCAGAUGAAAGGCUCUCAUGUGCCAUGCAAGGUCCGGGGGCCGCAGCUUACCCACCCCGUCAAAUACACAGUACAGGGUUUGAAGUCUGUCGUGAUGACGGAUCACAUCUCCAGGUACUCCAACUUAAAUGACAUAUGGCCGGCGCCAAGUCAAAAGUUUAGGGACACGUUGUGGUGCUAUUGAAUGAGGGAACGUCUCCAAACCUUUGACCGGCGCUGUGAGUAAAGCUGCCAAUACAUUCUGACGAGAUCACAGGUAAAGUGGCCACAGGUGAAAAUAUCCACACAAACAUCGGUGUCUCGUUGACACACGUAUUUGUACUUAACAUCCAUGACAUAAACCAUAAGAUGAAACCAGGGAUGCUCCGACGCUCCACUGAGCACAGUGACAUUUGGUUUGGAAAACCGACAAGCAACACAGUUAGUUGGGAGCUCGUUUUUGGCCCACAAGGGGGAAGUGGCUAUCACAAGCUUUGUGUUUGGUUCUCACACAAAUCAGACUGAAUGUUAACUUUCAAAAAUGGAAACACAUAUAGAACGAUUUAACAGACCUUGGACUGGCACGGUGUCUUAAAGGAACAGUGCACUUUGUUUUGGAAUGUUGUCCAUCUUCCACAAUCCUGAUGUCAGACAUGAAGACACAUUUCUCUUUUCUGUGCCUUCUAAAGGUAUACAAAGAGGUAAAAAGUGUGUCUUUAGGAGGCACGGAAAAGAGAAGAGGACUGUGGACGAUGGUCAGAGUUCCCCCAUAAGAGUGGACCUUUCCUGUAAGAACUACGUUCUCCUCAUGCAGCGCGAGUGGACGGUAGCUUGAUAGAAGGCAGCUGUGUAAAAGACAUAGAGUACAUGUCCGUCAUCUGAGUAGAUAUGGAAAAAUGGAACAAUGCGGGGCACGGCUGUGCAGGCAUGCGUGGGCCGUGAGGAAGGAGCGUCAUUGGGACGGGGGAAAAAAGCCGGAGUCGGAGCAGCUGCUCGGCCUCCUCCGUGACGAUCAGGCACGUCUGACCUGACUGGCAUGGAACCCUGAAUGUGGCCGCCGCCGCCGCGGUCGCCGUGAGUGUUUCCUGCUCUUCAGUGGCGUGCCAAGAGCUGCAUGUAGGAGACGGUCACCACGUCUGCAUCCUGGCGGAGGGAGAAGACGUCAGGAAAGGCUCCUGAUUGGUGGGAAUGAGCGGAUGGGAGGAAGGCAGCGACGCCAACAGAGCUUUUUCAUCAUUUGAUUUUUUCUCUUAUAGCAAAUAUUGAUCCAAAAUGUGUGACGAUGUCAGUUAGAGCUAGCAGGGGGGCUAAAAUAGAAUGGAAAAAUAGACAUUUCCAUUGGCUGGUGGUCCUGCAAGGCAACCCCCACCAAGUGCUGGGAUCCACUGGAGACCAAAAACACCCCCAAGACUCCCAGGUCUCCCUGGAUACGGGCCCCCUGGUGUACCCACAUCAGUGACAGGAAGUACACCCGCCUGGCUGUUAAUAUAGUUGUGUCUCUACUCUGUAAACAAGCAGGCUAGCCAAUAGCACGCGUCCUGGUUAUUAUAGCAAGGCACCUCCAAGAUGUUGAACUCCACAGAAGAAACUCAUGCAAGAAAGAAAUGUGCCCCUCUAUUCAAUGCAUUACGGCAGCAUUCUGUCUGGGGUUAAAGGUCACGGGGGAAACGUGCACACAUGACAACAUUCACCAGCAUCACAGCACUGAUUUAGCAAGGCACAUGCGGAGCGUCAUAGCGGCUGCAGGCGUCUAAAGGGGGGCUGAAAGGAGCACCACAACGUACGGGAUAAGGAGCACCACAACGUACGAGAUAAGGAGCACCACAACGUACGGGAUAAGGAGCACCACAACGUACGAGAUAAGGAGCACCACAACGUACGGGAUAAGGAGCACCACAACGUACGAGACAGUCCCCCCCAUUUUGGGUCAAAGUCCAUCAUUGGACGGACGGAAAAGGGCAUCUCUUCAGCCAACCAAUAUCCGCUUGCAAAGACACAAAACAACACACUGGGGCGGGGGCGGGGGGUUGACCCGGGUGCCCUCUAGUCUAGGAGUUAGGAUCCAGCAUGGUGGGGUAGCUAUUAGCUAGCCGGGCCUACGGCCUGGAGGCGGCCUGGUACCUUGUUUAGACCACAGUACUGGCCUCGUCUGAGAAGCUUCUCAUGAGCAGGGGCCUGGCUGACGACCCGGGAGAAGGGAGCCCCCCCACACUCGACUCAAACGGCUUCUUCUGGAAGAAGAACCAUAGACGUAACUAAGCCCCCCCCAUGUGAUGACGGUCGCUGACGAGCAGCACUAACAAGGAGGACGUCCCGCUAAGGCCUUCAGUGUGAUGCUACUACUCAUAUUCUCAUCAGGCUGGCCCUGUGGCUACCUGCCCCCCCACCCCCCCACCGCAGGCAGAAGGGGCUUUGACUUCUUGAGCCUCAUGUAGAGUUCGUGGAUGCUGCCCCCCCCCCAUGCAUAAGGUACUAGCCGUGGCGGGUGGGAAAGGAAAGGAGAGGGGGAAAGAGCAGGAAGGGGAUACAUGGGAGAAAGAACAAGGGCUAACAAAGAAGGAAAGAAAGACCUCAGUCAGUCCAUGAGAAGCUGUGCGUGCUAGCGGUCUGCGACAGCAUGAAGAUAGUAGAAGUCCCCGAGGAAGGAAGGCGGUGCUUCAUCUUUUAGGGAGGUGGGGGUCCAGGGAGGAAGCGAGAGCACAGACGAGAGAGAGAGAGAGAGAGAGAGAGAGAGAGAGAGAGAGAGAGGAAAAGGUGUUAAAGUGCUGAAGCGCUUUUAGGAGGGAAGGUGAGUCAAGACCAGUUGAUGGAAACUAAUGUUUACUUUAGGAAGCUGAAAACAUUUCACAUGCUAGUUGUACCAAAUGCUGUGCCCGAAUACAGUGCACCUUGCUGGGCCACGGCUUGCUGGGCCUCCCCCUCUAUACUCUGGUUCUCCUGCUAGUAGUCACGUCAUGAUCCUUCCCACCUCCAGCUAAAUCGAAGCAGAAUGUACCUGCUGAGCCAGGGGGUCGCGGGGCUUGUGCAACACGGCCAGAAGGAUCUCGGGCAGCAGGCUGAGCACCACCAGAAGGAUGACCACCAGCCAGGCCGACACGGAGCUCAGCAUGGUGGCAAACACGAAGUACAGACGCUGCUGGCGAAGGAAGGGCCUGCGGGAGGAGAGCAGAGGACACGUUUAGAGGCUUUGGGGAACACGGACACGCGUGGCCCCCCCACGUUGACUCACCAUAUGAUUCCUCCCCAGAAGAAGCUGAAGAGCAUGUAAAAAGCGAGAGACCCCCAUAUGACAAAGUGGUUGAUCCAUGUCCAGUGGCGAGUGUCCAGAGCAAGCUGGGGGGGGGGAAUUAGCCAUCAUAAUACAGUAUACAUAUUGUAAUACAACAAUGGGGGGGUGGGGGGGGCAUUCACCUUUAGCGUGACAGUGAAGACCAGGACAGUGAAGAUGAUUGUGCCGUAAGCCCAGUUUCCAUAAACCUGCAUCACGUCAACAUAAACACACACAGACGUCAACAUAGAACUUUUAUGUUCUAGUCUGCUAGUAAAACGAUAUUCCUGUGAGACUGAGAUGUUUGGUUGUUCUCCUGAAUGCCAAUCUUCUUUCUAAGACGGUAUGACAUCCUGUCUUCAUGAUGACCAACAUUAGCUUCUUCUAAUUCCAUGUGUUUUUCCAACAUGUGUGUGUCCCAGGCCAGGGAAGAGGAAAGACAGCCAACCUGUCCGUCAUCCUGCAGGGCAGAGUUCCUGAAGAGGCACUGCACACCAAAGAAGAAGACCAAGCCGUGGAAGACUCCCAGCAAGGUCCAGUACAGGAAGGGUCUCCAUCGCAGCAUGGCGUUCUUGUGGAUCUCUCUGAACAAGACAAACGGUCCGCAUGUUGCUUCCGCGUGUCGAUGCUGGCUUCCCAUUGGCCGAGGCGGGGCGGUUACCUGUAGAGGGGGGCGUUGCUCAGCAGGGCCUCCAUGCAGAUGUGCUGCUCCAACAGGCUGUACGCCAGGAUGGGCAUGGAGGUGAAGCAGAUGUUGUACAUCGUCAGAUAGGCUGCAUCAAA